rnacentral:rRNA from 1 species
GAUGAACGCUAGCGGGAGGCCUAACACAUGCAAGCCGAGCGGUAGAGUUCCUUCGGGAACUUGAGAGCGGCGUACGGGUGCGUAACACGUGUGCAACCUACCUUUAUCUGGGGGAUAGCCUUUCGAAAGGAAGAUUAAUACCCCAUAAUAUAAUGAUUGGCAUCAAUUAUUAUUGAAAACUCCGGUGGAUAGAGAUGGGCACGCGCAAGAUUAGAUAGUUGGUGAGGUAACGGCUCACCAAGUCAAUGAUCUUUAGGGGUCCUGAGAGGGAGAUCCCCCACACUGGUACUGAGACACGGACCAGACUCCUACGGGAGGCAGCCGUGAGGAAUAUUGGACAAUGGGUGAAAGCCUGAUCCAGCCAUCCCGCGUGAAGGAUGACGGUCCUAUGGAUUGUAAACUUCUUUUGUACAGGGAUAAACCUACUCUCGUGAGGGUAGCUGAAGGUACUGUACGAAUAAGCACCGGCUAACUCCGUG